UAUACUGUACACAGACGAAAACGGUUUUGGAUAGCUGAGCUUCAGCUCCGGCACGUCGAUUCUCUCACUUUUUUUUUUUUUUUUCGUUUUUCCCAUCCCACCGUCAAAAUCCGAAGAUGUGGACUCUGCAACUACCGAGUGGCAGAGCUCUAGUUCUUGAUCGGUCAUCGGCGCCAUUACUAGACCGAUUCUCUUCUUCGUUUUGGAGUGGAAACCUGUGCUUCGACAAUGGAAGUUCCGCUGCUAUUGGAAGAGAGAAGCAGCGUUUGCGAAUCGGUGGUGGUGGAGCUGUUAGGAUUAUCGCAAUGGCGAGUGAUUCUUUGUCGUCGCCGUUGAAGAUGAACUUGAACGAGUAUAUGGUUACUCUGCAGAAACCACUAGGCAUUCGAUUCGCGCUCUCGGUGGACGGCAAAAUCUUCGUUCACGCUCUGAAGAGAGGAGUACUUUCACUCGGCAAUGCAGAGAAGUCGAGGAUUGUCAUGGUUGGUGACACUUUGAAGAAGGCAAAUGAGUCACCUGAUGGCAGACUUAUUGAGGUCAAGGACUUCGGCGAUAUGCAGAAAAUGCUGAAAGAGAAGACAGGAUCAUUUAGCCUGAUCCUUGAGAGACCAUUCUCUCCUUUUCCCAUUCAACAGUUGCUUAAUUUGAACGAGCUUGAUAUUUCAUUUAAUAAAGGUCGAGUUCCUAUUGCCACUUGGAACAAAACUAUAUCAGCAUUGAAUUUGCAGACAUCUUCUGAAAGCAGUGGGAAUUCUGGAUUUGUGACGUUCUCCUCGAAGUUUCUAAAUUCACAAGGUUGGAAAUUUUUGAAUGACCAAAAUGGAUAUGUUCACUCACAAAUGCAGAAGAGCACUCCUACCCAACUUAGCCAAGUAGUUAGUAUUUUUACUGAAGAUGAGUCUGGAGAGGGAGAAUGGGCUCAUGGGAAUUUUCCACUAGAGGAAUAUAUAAAGGCACUCGAACGCUCUAAAGAUGAACUGUACUAUGAUCACUCUCUUGGUAUGCGCUACAGUAAGAUUACAGAGCAGAUAUAUGUUGGAUCCUGUAUACAAACAGAAGAUGAUGUAAAGACAUUAUCAAAUGUUGCGGGAGUCACGGCUGUACUGAAUUUCCAAAGUGUAACUGAGGCAGAAAAUUGGGGAAUCAAAUCAAAUUCAAUCAAAGAGAUAUGUCAAAAAUUCAGUAUCCUGAUGAUCAACUAUCCUAUUAGGGAGGGUGAUUCUUUUGACAUGAGGAAGAAACUACCAUUCUGCGUGGGGCUACUAUUACGAUUGUUAAAAAAGAAUCACCGUGUUUUUGUUACUUGCACAACAGGUUUUGAUCGAUCUCCUGCAUGCGUGACAGCAUAUCUGCACUGGAUGACUGAUACUUCUCUUAAUGCAGCAUACAAUUUUGUCACCAGUUUGCAUUCAAGCAAGCCUGACAGACCAGCAAUUGCAUGGGCAACAUGGGAUCUCAUAGCAAUGGUGGAAAAUGGCAGACAUGAUGGACCUCCAACACAUGCUGUGACAUUUGUGUGGACGGGGCAAGAGGGGGAAGAUGUAAAUUUAGUUGGAGAUUUCACUGGAAAUUGGAAAGAACCAAUUCGUGCAAAUCACAUAAGUGGACCAAGAUAUGAAGUAGAAGUCCGACUACCACAUGGAAAGUUUUACUACAAGUUCAUUGUAAAUGGGCAAUGGCGACAUUCAUCAGCUUCACCGGCAGAAAGGGAUGAAAGGGGAAAUGUCAACAAUGUAAUUGUGAUUGGUGAUACUGCUAGUGUGAAGCCUUCUGUUCAACAGCAAAAGAAAGAUGCAAAUAUUGUGAAAGUGAUUGAGAGGCCAUUGACAGAAAAUGAGCGCUUCAUGCUGGCAAAAGCAGCUCGCUGUGUAGCAUUCUCUGUUUGCCCAAUCAGACUAGCUCCAAAGUAGAAUUGCCAAAUGAUGAGGUCACUAGUUUGGAUGUUAAUAAUAACAUGCAUGGUAUUGUGGCUAGAAUUCUUCAAAAGAUUCUUCUUGAGACAAAAGUUAUCUCAGGAAAUCAGUCGAGAGAUUAUAGAAUUCUACACCACUAGUCUUCCUGAGGCAUGAAAUUGUCUUGCCAAUUACUUUCUGCUAUAGUACAGACUUUUCGCCAAGGUAAGAUGCCAAGACUUCAUAAAGCGGUGAAGUGAUUCAACGUUAAGGUUGCUUUUGUUCAUGCCUUUAACCUACGCUCUGUAGUCAAUGUUGUACUAUUCUGUAUUUCUCUAAGACUACCCGUUAGCAUGCAUGGACCUCAAUGUUGGAUAAAACUGCAUUAAAGGGAUUUUUACUGCCUAUUCUUGUGGGACAAAAUGGUAGUGAAAAUGUCUCUGUCGAUCUCAUUUGUUCGUUCCCUUGUAGAUAUCACAGUGAAGGAUUAGAAACGGUGCCUUGCUACUUCUUGUUCCAUGGAAAAUUAGAACAACAAGGACAAGCAAAACAGGUAAUAUUCAUUCUCAGGAUCCAAAAAACUCUUACAUUCUCUCGCGAAGUUAAUAAAAAAAAUAAAUAAAUAAAUCCGUGUAUUCUGCAGAUUCACUAAUUCUGAGUAGAUACGAGUAAUAAUUCUUUUCUCUUUCUAACUAAAGCUUCAUUUAUCUUGUCCAGUGUCUUGUAUUUCUUUGA